ACUCUUCUUACCAGAGAGAUGUUUGUUUCUGUCCGCGCGAUGCGUGGAGAAACCCGUUGGCUGCACCGCCCUGGAUAGCGUCUUCCCAGUAAGCCAUGUUUCCGUAAAGCAGAGAACGUUGCAGUCUCUGAUGUCCCUCUGGAAUGCCACCCUUGCUCGGAUUUCAUCAACCUUGUUGUCGAGAGACUGGACAUUGGCAAGAAGAAUACUGGGAAGUGGUGCGCGAUGUGCCCUUUUUCGGAGUCUGACCAGAACACCGCCGCGUUUCCCUCUUUUUCGUAGUCGUUUCCUUGGGUCGCUGCAUGCGAUCCAUUCCGUUGUCCUGUUUGUAAGGCAGAACACAGGAUCCGCGUCGCGGAAAACAUAUUCUUGGUCGUACUGAUGGUGAGUUGACGCUGAUCUUAUAUUCAGUAGUUCUUCUCGACUGUAUGUAAUGAAACCUAAGAUGACCUGGGGUACUAAUGUAAAAAAACAAAAAACUGCAUAGUUUCCUAGGAACGUGAAGCGAGGCGGCCAUCUCAGUCGGCGCCGGAAGUACACUGAAGUAGUUUGAUCAUUUGUUAGUUUAGAUGUGGAAAAGGUACAAUUUAAUUGAGCUGUUCUGGGUGUUAACUUCUUGGUUCAUUGUUGCUGCACAUUUCUUUAUGAUAAAGAUGAUAAUUACAACACUUCACUAUCAGGCUAUCAGCUGUUGUAGAGGGGAGUUAUGAAAAUGUUCUUUUUAGAUAACUGUUAGUAUCUGAUAUACCUGAUAUACCUGACUCCUCGGCUCAACUCUUCAAGUCAAUCACAGGUUGAAAAGGCAGGGGAGAAUGAUGGUGCAGCUGUCCCUAGAGCCGGUGGGACAAGUUCCUCCACCGGUCAGCAUCCAGUUGUAGAUUUGGCAAUGGAGCAAGUUCAUCUGGCACUUCAGCAGCAAGUGGUCCAGUACACACCGUUGAUGUUACAGAACCAAACCCGGUCAAGGCAGCUCAGCUGUUCACAUACUGGACACUUCAGGCCAACAAGGGCAAAGACUACCUGACCUUGAGUUUGAGGGAUUCCUUAGUGGAAAGGAACAUAUAUGUAUGUAUGUAUGCAUGUAUGCAUGUAUGCAUGUAUGUAUGCAUGUAUGUAUAUGUGUGUGUGUAUAUAUAUAUACUCCCAUUAUAUAUAUUCCCAAUGGCCUUGCAGGCGGAUGCAUUCUAGAUAGAUCCUAUUGGAGGAGGAACCUGAAGCUGAGGGGCCAGUUCAACGGCCUACCCUCCAUAUAUACUCCCAUUAUCCCUAUUUAAAAGUCCUGUCUUAAAAGGUUUCCUCAAGGAAGUGCCUAGGCAGUCAACCAGCAGAAGAGAAAUGUGCCUUUUAGAAGCUCCGAGUAGUUGGGUAAUCCAAAUUGAUGGCCACAAACGGAGGAAAAUAAUUGCUGGUUGUAAAUAAAAUUAAAAUAAAAAUUGUGAUAUUAAUGCACUGCCUCAUUUCUAUAUUGGAUAAAGGAAUUAAGUACAUGAGGACAAAUAUUGAGUUGGUAUGUGUUCUGAGUCCCUCUCAAAGAAACCAGUGCUAAUUGAGACUAACAUCUCCUCUUUAUAAAUGGCAAACAAUUUACUUUUGAAGCCAGGUGGAGUUUUCCAACUGUGGGAAACAUACUUUAUUGGGGAAUAUCUAUGCCUGGCUGCACUACAAGGUGAACUGUAAGGCAAGUUACCCUCAAACUGUACAAGAGACUGAAAAAAAAAAAACAGGUUCAUCUGAUGUUUGAAUAUUUUUGAUAUAUCUACAACAUAUCCACUCUAUAUGACUGCAUUUACCCUGACAUUUUUCCACCACACUGAGGGAGAAGGUGUCUCAACUGGCCAAUCAACGUUAGGGGUGCCCUUGACAAACGAGGCCCAUCGCUCCUCCAGUUUAACUUGACCUUCACCUGCCUGCAGCUUUGCUGGAUCCAUUUUGCGCUCGUUUUCUGCAAUAAAAAAGCGCCUGAUGUAUAUUAACCAACAUUGGUGUUCAUAAGGUCCAGAGUCUCAAAGGCUUGAUAAAGACAAAAUACCUCCACUGUUACACCAGGUGAGGGGUUUCUUUAUUGCCGUGAACUGGGUCUGAGGAGCAGGACACCAGAGGCCGCAAUGAAGUGAAAACAAAUAGAUUCUGAAAAAAUUCAAAAGUGUACAGGGUUCAGUGCAGGGGGCUCCCAACUGCCUGUGUGCACUCUGGGCUUGUAAAAUUCAACUGAACAGGUCAAAUACUGUUUUGAGUAAUUAACGCACAGGCCAGGGGAAAUCUGGGUGGCCUAAAUGCUAAAAAUCAGCCAGAAUCUUAAAUGUAGCAUGUCCAUGGCUAAGGGGCCAGAUCCAAGCCAAAGCAAUGUUAUAAAUUCAAACAGGAAUCUCCCUGCCUUGUUAUGUCUCACUUCCUUAGAAAAACAUUGGAAUUUGUAUUGUUUCUGCGUAAUUACCGAGUUACCUCAGACAGCCUGUCUGUUGAAUUUAACAAGAUGUUUUAGGAAGGAAUAAACAACAAAUUAUGACUGUGUGCACUCCGCAGUUAGGAAGUCUUCUCUGCCUUGUACUGUAAGAUAUGGAAUUUAUAGCUCUAAAGCUGUAUAAAUGUUCAAACUGUGUGGGACAGAGUGAUAUUUCUCAGCCCUCUGCCUUUUCUUAUAUUGAAAUAUGCUGCAAGGCCUUUGGCACAGUUCAUUAAUACAGUAAGAUCCAGUAUAUCAUGAAUCCAUUAUUUGGGAACGUUGAGAAUAUGUGACUGCAGGUAAUUCAGCACCCAGUAGACAGUGUUUCCUGUCACACACAGUGAUGAACGUGUGAGCUGUGCCUCAAGACCUCCCCAGUGUUAGAAUUCUGACAGUAGAUGGGCAGUGAAGCCGUUUGACCCAUUUCAAGGUGAUAAGGGCUUUAGCUCAGGGAAUCCUGACACUGAAUAAACCUGAUGUAGUGUAUUGUAACAGAAGGCAGAUUUGGGGUCGCUCCACUUGCACUUCCACUAACACCUUAUAACAAACUUCCCUCGGAGUCCAAACAUUUAAGGCAGAAAAUGAUACAGUCUAGUGUGAAGGGGUCAGAGAGUGAAAAGGGAGAGGCCCAUUUACACAUAUUAGUGUGCCCUACCAAGGUGACUGGCUUCAGUUGGCCUUGAUGGGGUUUGUAGCACCUGAUCCUGCUUGAGGCCCCCGCUCACGUUCCAUUCCUUGCUCCCCACGCUGUGAUGUGAUGUCCUCGUUCCGUGGCCUGGCUCAAAUUGAAAUCAUAAGUUGCUCCAGAGGCCGUUGCCUCUGGGGGUCUGUGGAGAGUUGGCUGUGUCGGCAAGCCUUUCCACACUGUUGCAGUGUUCGCCCCAGAUUAUUACAGCAUAGAUAGCACUGAGGAAUAGAAGGACUACAAUGGUCAUUACGCUGCGUGAUAUGGUGAGGGUGGUAUUUUGAGUUUGCUUGUCUCAGGAGGGGCAUGAUUGAUAGUUAGACAUACAUCACCAGAAAUAAACGUUUUAAUGUAUUCUUUAAACAGUCGUGAAGAAGACAUUCAGCUGAAGUUGAAGUGACACUUUUUGUUCUACUCUUUAGUUGAACUGCUCAGACGGUCUGUCUGCUCACUAGUGUAAAGACAGCAGCAUGUCUUAUUAUUGACCGUUUCUCACCACAGUUUUACUGAGACAGUCAAUGAGGACAGAGCAAACUACAAAUUCAAAUUAAAGAAUAGAAUUGAGCGGUUAUUGAACACCCUUUCUAAAGGCUCCACAAGUAAGCAUCAAUAAUGUUUCCUGGUGUACUUUGGGCUUAAAUCUGAUUUUUAAAGGCAAACUCAAAAUUUGUGAUGACAGUUUUUUCACAGAACAGCACUAAAGUAAAACACUUCGGCAAAUGAAUACACCCUAGACAAGUUGUCAGACAAUCGAUGGGUGAUUUUACGUCCCAUUCGCUCAUUCUUUUGGGAGGUAAAAUGCUUUGGAACUAAAUCAGCCAUAUACAGGACAUUUUACAGUGUACCAUCUUGACUCACUGUUCAGCUUAUAGUUUCUUAUUACAGUGUUUUGCUUGUUGCAUGAUGAGUUUGAAUGAGUGGAGCUCAAUUGUUCAAAUUGCCAUCAAUUUGUAAAUAACCUUCUUUAGCUAAAGCCAACUCAUUUUAUAUCAGAAAUCACAGCUUGUUUGUAUCAUAAUAGAUGGCACUUGUCUUAUCAGUCAAUUGCAUGUUAUUUGCAGACAAUUGCACCUUGCGAAGGGGACUCCCAGACUCUGACCUGCCCUCAGUGUGAAUGACUCAGUGAGAACAGCUCAAACAGCAUUUGCUGUUACAUAGAAACUAUCAGCAUUUGAAAUUCUCUUGGAGAUAGUUUGACCAAUCCAAAUACUGAAAUCAAUUCAAUUCUCAGACCCAGGCUUUUAAACAUCUCCAAUUAUAUCUGAUAAUAUGGCAACUGUCUCACUAUAGACAUUUAAGACGUUGGAAAAAGAACCUUGCGCAUCUGGCAAUGUUUGCACUUCCAUGUCAGUCAAUGGCCGUGGAAGCUGAACCUCAGGGACUGUGACUCCUUCAUGAUGGUGACCAUAAGGACCUCCCCCUUCAAGGCUGUAUUCCAAGUCAGUCAAUGGCCGUGGAAGCUGAACCUCAGGGACUGUGACUCCUUCAUGAUGGUGACCAUAAGGACCUCCCCCGUCAAGGCUGUAUUCCAUGUCAGUCAAUGGCCGUGGAAGCUGAACCUCAGGGACUGUGACUCCUUCAUGAUGGUGACCAUAAGGACCUCCCCCUUCAAGGCUGUAUUCCAAGUCAGUCAAUGGCCGUGGAAGCUGAACCUCAGGGACUGUGACUCCUUCAUGAUGGUGACCAUAAGGACCCCCCCUCGUCAAGGCUGUAUUCCAUGUCAACCUAAUGUGAGAUCAACAGUCAAAUAUGAGCAUGUCUAUUCUAUGCAAAUAAUAAAGGAAUGGGAAUCACAAUUGAACAAGGUCAUUUGGGAACACAGUGUUUGUUUGCAGUGUCAAAAAGAUACCACAAGUAGUUACAAUUUAUCUCUAAUCAUGUUAAA